UUUCUUUUCUUUUCUUUUCUCUUCUUUCUUUUUCUUUUUUCCUUUUUCUUUUCUUUUCUUUUUUUUUUUAGACAGGGUCUCACUAUGUAGCUCUGGCUGCCCUAGAACUCAUUUAGGUAGACCAAGCUGGUCUCAGACUCAGUAAGAUCUGUCUCUGCCUCCCGAGUGCUGAAAUUAAAGGCUUAUGUCAUCCUGCCUUGCAACGUGUAUUUUCCUGCUACCAUUUCCUUGAGUUAUCUGCCAAGUUUGGAAGAAAGGGGAAGAACUGUAGUAAAUGAUGGAUAUUUUCCUUUAAUAUAUCAGUUUAUCUUCAUAGUAUAUUUGUUUGGGGAAGGAAAUGCCUAUCAUCCAUGCCUUCUGUACAACUAGAGAAUUUGGAGGGAUGGAGAGGCAUCUGGAACUGUAUCUUGGUUAUUACCAAUCCCAGCCUUUCCUAUUACAUGUGUGUUGUAGCUGUCAUGGUCAUGUCUAAAGCCCAGUCCCCUUGUCUGUGGGUUAACACAUCUGUAGGUGCAGCUAGACCCAAGAUGAAGAUAUUUGAAAAAAAAAUUGCAUAGCAAACAUGUACCAAAUAUUUUCUCCCCCCCCCCAGCAAUACAGCACAACAGUUUGCAUAGCAAUUGCAUUGUAUUAGAUAUUAUAAUACCCUAGAAACAAUAUAACUUAUAGAAGAAGAUGUGAGCAGGGUGUAUGUAAAUAGUACAUGCCACUUUGUAGAUGGGACGUGAGUGUCACAGACACUGUAUCCCAGCAGGGGAUGGGGCAUGUCCUGGUUCCAGUCUCCCAAGGACACUGAGGGAUGGCUACAUCUUAUUCCAACUGUGAAAAGUGGUUCAAAUAAAACAUUCUUGAGAUAACCUUCCUCAUCACCCCUUACAAAAAGUUCUGUUUGGGGUAUUCAACAGUGAUGCUCAGGAACAGAGGAACAGACUAUAAACACUGUAAAUAAGUAAGACACCAUUAGCACAAAGAUACAGAGAGAAAGAGGAGUUCCAUCAAUUGCAGGGAAAACCUAAAGACACCUGCUCUUUUGCCUCCAUGACUGUGCAGGCUGGAAAACAAAACUCUGAGCAAAUAUUUUGGGGAUCAUUUGGCCACGACUUGCUAGGGCAGCCAUCACAUCUUAUCAGGGCAGUAUAGACACACCUCUGCAAUUUAUGCCUACAGUAUAUGGGUAAUUUUGAGAGAGAAAAGGGUGCUUCAUUGGGGGCUACAAAUAAUUGAAUAGACUGAUGUAAUUCAUUUAUGUGCACUAAUAGCUGUGCCUCAAUAGAGAAUGUAGAGGUGUGUGAAAAGAAGGACCUAGGGCUGUGAAUGAAAUAAAAGUCAACUCGUUGUAACAUUUUAGGAUUUAAAACAUGCGGAGAGAGACAGAAAAUAGAGGGACCUCAGUUGGAGCUGGUAAGGUAGGAUGUAAAGCCCACGAGGUUGCUUUCCAGAGGCAAAGCACAGCCCGAUUACAGCCCCUGGGUAAAUUGCAAUCACUUAUGUUCUGUGUUGUUAAUCUGAAGACUCAGAAAAUAUACACAGCUGGGCUUACCACGUCUUGGUGCACUGAGGUUGAUAGGAUAUGGUCCAUGAAAGCUAGUGAAUUUUUGAGCCCCAGAAUAGCCUGCACUGCCAUUAAGGACAAAAAUGCAAGAAGAUGCAAUACGUUCUGUACCCUUCAAAGUCUUUAAUCCAUUUCCAAGUUGCUGCUCCUGGGAAGCAGAGUCCGCUUUGCAACUGCAAACUUUACAUGCUUGUACUGUGGUUCCUGCUUACCCCUAUUCAGUUACAGCCACAAGGUAGGACCCAAACAUGUACUUGUGUUUAUUUUUCUCAAAGAAAAUGUCUUGUGAUUUUUGUUAAUGCCUGAGUUCCGUGAUUAAAUAAAUGUACCAGCUCAGCUUAUCAGAAAAUACCAUGUUACCCAGCAGCCAAAACAAUAAAACUCAAGCUGCCUUUUUCUGAAUGGACCAGAGACCCGAUAAGAGCGUCUCCAGGAAGCCAGAUCUUAAUAGAGUAUGUCCAUCUUCUCUGGGCUCCCAGGCCAACCUGUGAACUCUUAACUUACCAGUUAAUUUCAGUAGGCUGAGUUCAUUUCAUUUUCACUUCCUGUUGUAAGGAUGGGUCACAAAUAGAAGGUAGGUGGCUGGUGCUUCAACAUAGUUCUCUAGACUGAUGGUGGGAAUGUGAGGAAGCGUUAUAGCUGAGGUGAUAAGGAAGUGAGUCCUGAAAGGUUCUAUGCUUUAAGACAGGGUGAUAAUGAUACUGUGUGUGUUUUACAACAGUGUGUAAAUAGAAGUUAUGUGGCAACAGGAGGUAGGUUUCCCACCCCCACUCCCACUAUCUUGCCCAAAUGUCUUCGGAAUUCCACUAAAUUAUCAAGUUAAAUGGACUUAAGACAAUUGGUUGCAUUUGUUUUCCCUUAGUUACAACAGACUCCACCUCUGUAGUUGCUGAGAGCUGGGCCCCUACCCCAGCGUAGGCACAAGGCAGCAAGAAAAGGCAUUCUUUUCAUAGCAAUACAAAUUAUACUCAAUACUUUCCAUUCUAAAUUACUAGAACUAAAGGAUUAAAAUAUUAACAAUUUACCCCCAUAAUGUGCCAUUUAGCAUUCCCUCGAACAGAGUUUGACACAAAAUGUUUAUCUUGGACACUCCUAAAAUAUGUUUGUUGUGGUUGUUUAUCCAGCAAAUUUUGGCAGAAAUCUCUUUGGCUUAAAACAUUCUGGUUUCCUGUAAAGAACAACAAAGAAACCCAUACGUUGUGUUAUUUUGUAACUUCACCACUGUUAAUAAAGCUGCAUAU
rnacentral:lncRNA from 1 species